UACGAGGGAGGCAAGCGUUGUCCGGAAUUACUGGGCGUACAGCGCGCGCAGGCGGUUGCCGACGUGCCGUGUGACAAGCGGGGGCUCAACCCCCCGAGGGCCACGGUAAACGGGGCGACUGGAGGGAGGGAGAGGGAUGUGGAAUGCCCGGUGGAGCGGUGAAAAUGCGUAGAGAUCGGGCGGAACACCAGCGGCGAAGGCGGCAUCCUGGCCCCUUACCCUGACGCUGAGGCGCGAGAGCGUGGGGGGAGCAAAACGGGG
rnacentral:rRNA from 1 species